GUGGUUCUGCGUGGAAGGGCCAUCGCUCAACGGAUAAAAGCUACCCUGGGGAUAACAGGCUUAUCUCCCCCAAGAGUCCACAUCGACGGGGAGGUUUGGCACCUCGAUGUCGGCUCAUCACAUCCUGGGGCUGUAGUAGGUCCCAAGGGUUGGGCUGUUCGCCCAUUAAAGUGGUACGCGAGCUGGGUUCAGAACGUCGUGAGACAGUUCGGUCCCUAUCCGUCGCAGGCGUAGGAAAUUUGAGAAGACCUGUCCUUAGUACGAGAGGACCGGGAUGGACGUACCUCUGGUGUACCAGUUGUUCUGCCAAGGGCAUGGCUGGGUAGCUAUGUACGGAAUGGAUAAGCGCUGAAAGCAUCUAAGCGCGAAGCCAACUUCAAGAUAAGAUUUCCCACCGCAAGGGUAAGACCCCAGAAAGACUAUCUGGUUGAUAGGUCGAAGGUGUAAGUGCAGCAAUGUAUUUAGCUUAUCGAUACUAAUAGGUCGAGGACUUGACCAAAUU
rnacentral:rRNA from 1 species